ACAGGAAGCAGCUUGCUGCUUCGCUGACGAGUGGCGGACGGGUGAGUAAUGUCUGGGAAACUGCCUGAUGGAGGGGGAUAACUACUGGAAACGGUGGCUAAUACCGCAUAACGUCGCAAGACCAAAGAGGGGGACCUUCGGGCCUCUUGCCAUCAGAUGUGCCCAGAUGGGAUUAGCUUGUUGGUGAGGUAACGGCUCACCAAGGCGACGAUCCCUAGCUGGUCUGAGAGGAUGACCAGCCACACUGGAACUGAGACACGGUCCAGACUCCUACGGGAGGCAGCAGUGGGGAAUAUUGCACAAUGGGCGCAAGCCUGAUGCAGCCAUGCCGCGUGUAUGAAGAAGGCCUUCGGGUUGUAAAGUACUUUCAGCGGGGAGGAAGGUGUUGUGGUUAAUAACCGCAGCAAUUGACGUUACCCGCAGAAGAAGCACCGGCUAACUCCGUGCCAGCAGCCGCGGUAAUACGGAGGGUGCAAGCGUUAAUCGGAAUUACUGGGCGUAAAGCGCACGCAGGCGGUCUGUCAAGUCGGAUGUGAAAUCCCCGGGCUCAACCUGGGAACUGCAUUCGAAACUGGCAGGCUUGAGUCUUGUAGAGGGGGGUAGAAUUCCAGGUGUAGCGGUGAAAUGCGUAGAGAUCUGGAGGAAUACCGGUGGCGAAGGCGGCCCCCUGGACAAAGACUGACGCUCAGGUGCGAAAGCGUGGGGAGCAAACAGGAUUAGAUACCCUGGUAGUCCACGCCGUAAACGAUGUCUACUUGGAGGUUGUGCCCUUGAGGCGUGGCUUCCGGAGCUAACGCGUUAAGUAGACCGCCUGGGGAGUACGGCCGCAAGGUUAAAACUCAAAUGAAUUGACGGGGGCCCGCACAAGCGGUGGAGCAUGUGGUUUAAUUCGAUGCAACGCGAAGAACCUUACCUGGUCUUGACAUCCACAGAACUUUCCAGAGAUGGAUUGGUGCCUUCGGGAACUGUGAGACAGGUGCUGCAUGGCUGUCGUCAGCUCGUGUUGUGAAAUGUUGGGUUAAGUCCCGCAACGAGCGCAAC
rnacentral:rRNA from 1 species